AUCGCUGGCUUUAAUUGGUCGAUGGAGAACCCUAGGUUUGGGUUUACCCGUUUCCUUUUUCAGCCUGGUACAAGGACCAUUGCAUUUUGUGGAGCUUUUAUUACGUUCUGUGCUUUUGAGAACCGCCUGAACCGGGUCAACAGUUUGUUGACCAGAGCAAGAAAGGUUUUGGUUCUAUUUUAAGGAGUAUCCAGUCCAAGAUGUCCCUGUCGUGGCUCCUCUCCGCUCUCCUCUUGACGGUCUGUCUCAUCGCCUCUGUGAGUUCCCAGUCGUACUACAGGGACAGCCUUGGUCUCCGAGGCUUUGGCAGUGGGAGCUACUACAAUGUUCAUUCCAACAGAGGGCGCAGAUUCCUGGGGCUCAAUCAACAACUUUAUCCUCGGCGAUACGUUGACAACACCGGUUACGGUUUCUAUAGAAACAACAAUCUGGGUCUUCGAAACAGGGGCAACAACUUUUACGUCAACGAUAUUCUGUUCAGAGAUCCUGGGAAUUUUGGCCAAGGAUACGACAGAAUAAUGUAUUAAGAAUAUCAAAAGACUUAAUCAAAGGUGCUUUGGAGCAACAACAAAAAUACGAUUGAUAAUGGAGUAGAUCUAGACUUAUGAGGCCAAAUUCUAAUUAAAACGGAACGGCAAAAAAAAAGUGGUGUGGUGUGUGUCUAGCUUCAAUGUGAUUGAUUUUGGCAGUAUUAAAAUAUAUUAAUAAAGUGAUUUUGCUUCAAAGUGUCAAA